CCAGCGGUGGUCGGGCAGGCGCCCGGCCUGCAAGGGCUGGUGUACGGGCUGGUGCUGAUCGCCUUCGUGCUGUUCGAACCGCUGGG
rnacentral:tRNA from 1 species